AGAGGAUAUUUCAGAGAAUAUGACAGUGACAGGCACCAAAGGGCUCCUGCAGCUCCAGCUGCACAUGCAGGCAGGCAGUUCUGGAGCUGGAAGGUUUUGGGAAAAAGUUGCCAUAAAGAGGCUGUGAGGCUUGGCAGGGACAUGCACGUGUUCAGAAAAUAAGAUAUACCAUAAGGGAAUGUCCCAAGUGACCCUGAGAGCCAAAGGGGAACCAUCCGGCUCUAAGAUUCACCCCAGGAGAUGUAAGAAAUUGCAAGGAAGUCACACUGCAGAAGGGAAAAAAUGCAGCACUUGGGGUCUCACUGGAUUCCUUCCAUGACAUCAAAAAUACAGGCAGCCAAGAGCCUACAAACGCAGCAGUCUGAGAGGCCCUUGAGAAAUCAGAAGGGUUUUUGAUUAGAGACUCACCUGAGAGCAGCCACCAGCGCCUCCCAGCCAGGACAGAGACACCAAUGGAUGAUGGAGACACCAAAGAGAGCCCAAGGAAAUGUCAUUUCUCUCAGCAGGGCAGGGUGUCCCUCCAAGCACCUCUCCACCAGCCAAAUAAUGGCUUUGCAAGGGGAACUGUGAGGUGAUUGCAGCCACCUGACAGCAAAGUAAACAAAGUAAA